CUCAUCUGAAAGACACUGAGGAUCACAUUAGAUUGCAUGAAAUACUGUGCACAGCUCAGUCAAACCUCUCUAAGCCUUGGCCAGUGAACAUCACUGAGUUGUGAAGAUUAUUCAUUUUAAAGAUCAAAGUGAACAAUUGCUUGAAGAAGCUCCAACUAAGUCCAUUAACAUUCCUUUUCCUGGGAAUCUCUUUUUGUACAAAGCUCAAAAUCCAGCCAAAAUCAUCAUGCAUUCAAGUGAUCAAUGAAUGAGCACUACAUACGGCAAUGAGGUAAAUGUUUGGGAAUGACAAAAACUAGGUAAGUAAGAAAAGGUACACUGCUCUCCUAUUAGCACAUUUCACAUUAGAGAAGGAUUCCAAGCAGCUUAAAAACAGAAAAUUAUGCCACAAUUUUGCAGAAUAAGAAAAAAUCACUGCAUUGCUAAGAGAAGUUUAAGUGUUGCAUGCAAAUCUUCACGACAAUUGAUUCGUAAGUAUGUUUUACUGCUCUGUUGUUGUGUUGUUCUCACUGGCAUUAAUUUGUGUUUUCCCGGGUAACUUAGAAUAAAAAAAUGACUACAGGUAAAAGAUUAGAAGGUAAAGAUUAGAGUUCUUUUUCCAACAUGAAUCCUGCCCUUUAUCAUUUAUGGAUAAGGCGGUGUUGCUCAACAAACAGCAUGGGCAUUAGCAGGUUAAUGAGCACAUACUCAAUGUUUUUGCACACCGUCUGAUGCUUGCUGUACAAAAUGCAAACUGUGAAACAAAAUGUAAUAAUUAGUUUUGUCUAUGUUAUUCUAGAGAACUCAUCACUAUGGUAUCUAAUUUAUUCACAAACAAAUUAAUUUUCACCAUGCUCCUCAGGGACAAGCAGGGCCAAAGUGCUGAAAGUAGUCAGUGUUAU
rnacentral:lncRNA from 1 species